rnacentral:tRNA from 1 species
GUUAAUAUAAGCUAAUUAAGCUGAUGAGUUCAUAUCUCAUAUAUGAUUUA